GAGUUUGAUCCUGGCUCAGGAUGAACGCCGGCGGUGUGCCUAAUACAUGCAAGUCGUACGCACUGGCCCAACUGAUUGAUGGUGCUUGCACCUGAUUGACGAUGGAUCACCAGUGAGUGGCGGACGGGUGAGUAACACGUAGGUAACCUGCCCCGGAGCGGGGGAUAACAUUUGGAAACAGAUGCUAAUACCGCAUAACAACAAAAGCCACAUGGCUUUUGUUAAAAGAUGGCUUCGGCUAUCACUUCGGGAUGGGCCUGCGGCGCAUUAGCUUGUUGGUGGGUAACGCCUACAAGGCGAUGAUGCGUAGCCGAGUUGAGAGACUGAUCGGCCACAA
rnacentral:rRNA from 1 species